rnacentral:rRNA from 1 species
UACGUAGGGCGCAAGCGUUAUCCGGAAUUAUUGGGCGUAAAGAGCUCGUAGGCGGUUUGUCGCGUCUGCCGUGAAAGUCCGGGGCUCAACUCCGGAUCUGCGGUGGGUACGGGCAGACUAGAGUGCAGAAGGGGCAACUGGAAUUCUCGGUGUAGCGGUGAAAUGCGUAGAUAUCGAGAGGAACACCUGCGGCGAAGGCGGGUUGCUGGGCUGACACUGACGCUGAUGCGCGAAAGCCAGGGGAGCGAACGGG